AUGUACCCCUGGACUUCAUAUUUAUCUCAGUCUGUACAGCCUGAAUCCCAAAUGUCACCCGUCUCCUCCUCCCUCCCCUCUCUCUCUCCCCCUCCCUCCUCUGUCUCUUUUGUCUCUCCCUCCCCUCUCUUUUGUCUCUCCCUCUACCGUCUCUUUUGUCUCUCCCUCCCCUCUCUUUUGUCUCUCCCUCCACUCUCUUUUGUCUCUCCCUCUCCUCUCUUUUGUCUCUCCCUCCCCUCUCUUUUGUCUCUCCCUCCCUUGUCUCUUUUGUCUCUCCCUCCCAUGUCUCUUUUGUCUCUCCCUUCCCUCUCUUUUGUCUCUCCCUCUCCUCUCUUUUGUCUCUCCCUCCCAUGUCUCUUUUGUCUCUCCCUCCCCUCUCUUUUGUCUCUCCCUCCCAUGUCUCUUUUGUCUCUCCCUCCCCUCUCUUUUAUCUCUCCCUCUCCUCUCUUUUGUCUCUCCCUCUCCUCUCUUUUGUCUCUCCCUCCCCUCUCUUUUGUCUCUCCCUUCCCUCUCUUUUGUCUCUCCCUCCCCUCUCUUUUGUCUCUCCCUCUACCGUCUCUUUUGUCUCUCCCUCCCCUCUCUUUUGUCUCUCCCUCCACUCUCUUUUGUCUCUCCCUCUCCUCUCUUUUGUCUCUCCCUCCCCUCUCUUUUGUCUCUCCCUCCCUUGUCUCUUUUGUCUCUCCCUCCCAUGUCUCUUUUGUCUCUCCCUUCCCUCUCUUUUGUCUCUCCCUCUCCUCUCUUUUGUCUCUCCCUCCCAUGUCUCUUUUGUCUCUCCCUCCCCUCUCUUUUGUCUCUCCCUCCCAUGUCUCUUUUGUCUCUCCCUCCCCUCUCUUUUAUCUCUCCCUCUCCUCUCUUUUGUCUCUCCCUCUCCUCUCUUUUGUCUCUCCCUCCCCUCUCUUUUGUCUCUCCCUUCCCUCUCUUUUGUCUCUCCCUCCCCUCUCUUUUGUCUCUCCCUCCCAUGUCUCUUUUGUCUCUCCCUCCCCUCUCUUUUGUCUGUCCCUCCCCUCUCUUUUGUCUGUCCCUCCCCUCUCUUUUGUCUGUCCCUCCCCUCUCUUUUGUCUCUCCCUCCCCUGUCUCUUUUGUCUCUCCAUCCCCUCUCUUUCAUCUCCCCUUCCCUCCCCCGUCUCUUUCGUCUCCUCCUCCUUCUCCUGUCUCUUUUGUCUCCUCUUCCCUCUCCCCUGUCUCUUUCGUCUCCUCCUCCCUCUCACAUCUCUUUCGUCUUCUCCUCCCUCUCUCCCGUCUCUUUCGUCUCCUCCUCCCUCUCCCGUCUCUUUUGUCUCCUCCUCCCCCUCCCCUGUCUCUUUCGUCUCCUCCUCCCUCUCCCCUGUCUCUUUCGUCUCCUCCUCCCUCUCCGUCUCUUGUCUCCUCCUCCCUCUCCCCUGUCUCUUUCGUCUCCUCCUGCCUCUCCUGUCUCUUUCGUCUCCUCCUCCCUCUCACGUCUCUUUCGUCUCCUCCUCCCUCUCGCGUCUCUUUCGUCUCCUCCUCCCUCUCGCGUCUCUUUUGUCUCCUCCUCCCUCUCCCCUGUCUCUUUCGUCUCCUCCUCCCUCUCCCCUGUCUCUUUCGUCUCCUCCUCCCUCUCCCGUCUCUUGUCUCCUCCUCCCUCUCCCCUGUCUCUUUCGUCUCCUCCUCCCUCUCCCCUGUCUCUUUGGUCUCCUCCUCCCUCUCCCGUCUCUUUUGUCUCCUCCUCCCUCUCCCCUGUCUCUUUUGUCUCCUCCUCCCUCUCCCGUCUCUUUCGUGUCCUCCUCCCUCUCGCGUCUCUUUUGUCUCCUCCUCCCUCUCCCCUGUCUCUUUCGUCUCCUCCUCCCUCUCCCCUGUCUCUUUUGUCUCCUCCUCCCUCUCCCCUGUCUCUUUUGUCUCCUCCUCCCUCUCCCCUGUCUCUUUUGUCUCCUCCUCCCUCUCCCCUGUCUCCUCCUCCCUCUCCCCUGUCUCUUGUCUCCUCCUCCCUCUCCCCUGUCUCUUUUGUCUCCUCCUCCCUCUCCCCUUUCUCCUCCUCCCUCUCCCCCGUCUCUUUCGUCUCCUCCUCCCUCUCCCCCGUCUCUUUCGUCUCCUCCUCCCUCUCCCCCGUCUCUUUCGUCUCCUCCUCCCUCCCCCGUCUCUUUCGUCUCCUCCUCCCUCUCCCGUCUCUUUCGUCUCCUCCUCCCUCUCCCGUCUCUUUCGUCUCCUCCUCCCUCUCCCGUCUCUUUCGUCUCCUCCUCCCUCUCCCGUCUCUUUCAUCUCCUCCUCCCUCUCCCCUGUCUCCUCCUCCCUCUCCCCUGUCUCUUUCGUCUCCUCCUCCCUCUCCCGUCUCCCCUGUCUCCUCCUCCCUCUCCCCUGUCUGUUUCAUCUCCUCCUCCCUCUCCCGUCUCUUUCGUCUCCUCCUCCCUCUCCCCUGUCUCUUUCGUCUCCUCCUGCCUCUCCCCUGUCUCUUUCGUCUCCUCCUCCCUCGCCCCUGUUUCUUUCGUCUCCUCCUCCCUCUCCCCUGUCUCUUUCGUCUCCUCCUCCCUCUCCCGUCUCUUUCGUCUCCUCCUCCCUCUCCCGUCUCUUUCGUCUCCUCCUCCCUCUCCCGUCUCUUUCGUCUCCUCCUCCCUCUCCCGUCUCCUUCGUCUCCUCCUCCCUCUCCCCUGUCUCUUUCGUCUCCUCCUCCUUCUCCCCUGUCUCUUUCGUCUCCUCCUCCCUCUCCCGUCUCUUCCGUCUCCUCCUCCCUCUCCCGUCUCUUUCGUCUCCUCCUCCCUCUCCCGUCUCCUUCGUCUCCUCCUCCCUCUCCCGUCUCCUUCGUCUCCUCCUCCCUCUCCCCCGUCUCUUUCGUCUCCUCCUCCCGUCUCUUUCGUCUCCUCCUCCCUCUCCCGUCUCUUUCGUCUCCUCCUCCCUCUCCCGUCUCUUUCGUCUCCUCCUCCCUCUCCCGUCUCUUUCGUCUCCUCCUCCCUCUCCCCUGUCUCCUCCUCCCUCUCCCCUGUCUCUUUCGUCUCCUCCUCCCUCUCCCCUGUCUCUUUCGUCUCCUCCUGCCUCUCCCCUGUCUCUUUCGUCUCCUCCUCCCUCUCCCGUCUCUUUCGUCUCCUCCUCCCUCUCCCGUCUCUUUCGUCUCCUCCUCCCUCUCCCGUCUCUUUCGUCUCCUCCUCCCUCUCCCGUCUCUUUCGUCUCCUCCUCCCUCUCCCGUCUCUUUCGUCUCCUCCUCCCUCUCCCGUCUCUUUCGUCUCCUCCUCCCUCUCCCGUCUCUUUCGUCUCCUCCUCCCUCUCCCGUCUCCUUCGUCUCCUCCUCCCUCUCCCGUCUCCUUCGUCUCCUCCUCCCUCUCCCCCGUCUCUUUCGUCUCCUCCUCCCGUCUCUUUCGUCUCCUCCUCCCUCUCCCGUCUCUUUCGUCUCCUCCUCCCUCUCCCGUCUCUUUCGUCUCCUCCUCCCUCUCCCGUCUCUUUCGUCUCCUCCUCCCUCUCCCCUGUCUCUUUCGUCUCCUCCUCCCUCUCCCGUCUCUUUCGUCUCCUCCUCCCUCUCCCGUCUCUUUCGUCUCCUCCUCCCUCUCCCGUCUCUUUCGUCUCCUCCUCCCUCUCCCGUCUCUUUCGUCUCCUCCUCCCUCUCCCGUCUCUUUCGUCUCCUCCUCCCUCUCCCGUCUCCUUCGUCUCCUCCUCCCUCUCCCGUCUCCUUCGUCUCCUCAUUCCUCUCCCGUCUCCCCUGUCUCCUCCUCCCUCUCCCCUGUCUCUUUCGUCUCCUCCUCCCUCUCCCGUCUCUCUCGUCUCCCCCUCCCCCAGUCUUCCUGUGGUGAGACCACAGCAAGCCUCUCUGUCAACGCCGGGAAGGACUACACCCUUAUUGAACCCUUUUCCCAUACCUGA
rnacentral:lncRNA from 1 species